CAUAUUAUAGUUUUAAAAAAAAGCUUUUUUGAGCUGAAUUGGAGAAGCUGCUUAGAGAUGCUUACAGAUUAUUCUUCUCUUUUGCCCUAAUCUUUCUCUUUGGCAAGAGAUCAGCAGCAACGCAGCAGCAAGUUGCGACGCUGGUUCAGUUCCGGAGACGUGAAGCUCUAGUUUGUUUCCGGCGUUGGUUUGCUUCCGGCGACGUGCGGCUCUGAUUCGUUUCCGACUCUGGAUCUGUUUCUCUGUUUCUCUCUUUCCGACUCUGUUUCUCUUUUAUUUCAGGUGUCUCUGGUACCAGUCUUCUCAAUGCUGUCAAUUUGAUUGCUUAUAAUGUGUUCUACACUAGUAUCCCUGUUUCAGUCAGUCUCGUGGACAAAGAUCUUAGUGAAGGAACUGUGAUGCACCACCCACAGAUUUUAUAUUACUGCCAAGCAGGGAGCUAUUACUUGAGAGAACAGAGUGUGCGAAAAGGAGUUAAAUUGGCAUGCAGCUAAUUCUUACACAUAUUGUUCUUCUGUAUAUUUGUUAUAUUCUUCACUGUGUUGCAAGAAGAUUGAGAAAAUUCUAGUUGUGCCCGAAACUUGAAGAGCUUUGUUAGUUGCUAUAUUUUUCAAAAUCUAUCAUAUUAUUAGUAACUCUAGUAGUACAUACAAUUGGUUAUAUGAUGGUAAAAUGAGUAUAUUUGAUGCUUCUUUGAUCACUUUUUAUAUUCUUUGUAAAAUGAGUAUAUUUGAUGCUCCA